rnacentral:lncRNA from 1 species
AGGGAACCCCUUCCUCAAUCCAAAUCCUGUAUGGAGAUCCAGCCUGGAUACCGACAGAUGGGUGUGCCGGGGGCACUGGAGCGCCACCCCUGAUCUUCCUGGUCUUUCUGCACCCCCAGGCACCUGCGAGGGCCUCGUCCUGAGCCUGGAGCCCAGCAGGACCCUCUUGGAUGGUUCCCCUGCUGUCUCCUGGAGCCAGAAGCGCCCGUUCUCAAUGCUGCUGUCUCUUCUGCACCAGAUCAACAGUCAGAGGUCCUCCAGUAGCGUCGGGCGUCCGUGCAGGAAAAGGACAGCCGAAGGGUUCAUCAAAACCAAAAACGAAUGCGUUUUACACGUGAUGUCGCCUGCAGAUAGCAGGCUUUCCUGGGACAUGAGACCAGGGAAGCCACUGGAAGGAUCGGAAACCACACAAUUCCAAGUGCGGUACGUUCUGCCUGUCGGAGACUGUGACAUCUGGAUAGUUGGGUGGCCAGGGCAGCACCUGGGCAGGAGGACCUGGCUGGGCAGGCCGAGUGCUGGUUUGGGAGAGGGGUCCGGCCUGCAGUCAGCGGGAAGAGGGUGCCCCGGCUCUGAAGCUCCAGCUCCCAGUGACUCAGAGGCCAUCCCUGCCACAGCAAGCCAAGGAUGAGGUUCCCGGCAGUGAGCGGGCGGCAGCGUCUCCUCACUUCCCCCAUGGACCCAGCAGGACAGCACCUGGGCCCUACACUCAACCCGCCUCUCCUCACGUCGCCCACAUGGACGCAGCAGGACAGGACCCAGGCCCUGUGCCCAGGCGGGCUCUCACCUCCCUCACGGACGCAGCAGGACAGGACCCGGCCCUGCACCCGACCCUCCUCUCCUUACCUCCCUCAUGGACGCAUCGCCUGCCUGAUGACCUGGGGGUCUGACGUCCCCAGACGCCUGAAACAACAGCCGUGGUGUGUGCUGUGCAGGUGUCCUGGUGCCGAGAUGCACCCAUCAAAACCUCCCUCACCCAGCAGGGUCCUAACUGCCCCUGUUCACGGCCCUCACAGGCAGAACAGUUCCUAAAGGCUUCCUGAAGCCGUCUGUCCCGGUUCGAAAACACCCUCCGUGAAUUGCCCUCCUGUGCCUCUCGGAGGUGGGGCUUUUAGAAAUGGACGAGGCCGUGGGAGCUGCCGCCUUCGGGGCCUGGUGCGGGGGCGAGGACACAGCGGCCACUGCAUGCGUUCAGAGCCAUGAACUCCGUUGCGGGAACGACACCUCCCUCCCUCCCUCAGGUAUUUAGGAAAGAAAUGACCGUCAGAAUAAUUAGCCUUUAAAGGCAACGUGCUAGAAGGUUCCAGGGUCCCUAUCACCCGGGGAAAGGAGUGAUUCCCCUCCCCAGUCUGCAGGGGGGCAGCCACGUGGCUGCUGUCAGUACAGAAGGCUCAGGAACAGGAGGGAGGAGGAGGCCGAAGCCCCCAGUGCCGUUCUUCCCAAAGCACCGCCCUCCACCCUGAUUCCGUGUUCUCUUCCGGACGCCACCCGUCCUGGGGUCUUUCUCCCACGCUCCAGCCUCUGCCAGGCCGGCUGCUGGCUCCACGCUUUCUUGCUCUGGGAACGGGCUGUGCACCAGCCUCCCAAGACAACCAAGGCUCCAGGUGCCCCUGCUGCUCCUCGGGGUGUCUGUGAAGCAGGCAGGCGGCCAGGCAUGGGCGGGUGGGGCCUCCCUGUGGGCUGGGAAGCUGCAGGCAUCCACGGGCUUGGGACGCCGGGGACUGAGGGCAGCCUGAGAGCCGG